UUUAAGACUUUUUCUAGCUUUUGAAUUGACUUGCCCUUAUCUUGAAGUACUUUAUUCAGGCUUUUGCACUUUAGAUCUUGCUUGGAAAGGUCACCAACCUAUUUUUGAUUUGAAGGUUUAUAUUUUUCAGUUGGUCACCUAUCCAAGUGGCUACUUGCCUUGUUCAUAGUCUUUUGACCAUUGGAACAAUUUUCAAUUUGUGCUUUUGAGGUCUUUGCUUUUGCUGAAUUUUCUUUCUCUCAAUGAUUUGGGCAAAUCAACACCAAUCGCUAAAUCAAGUCACAUUAAGUUCAUUCACACAAUUUUAAUUUAUUCUUAAUCAAUUGAGGGUCAUCAAUAUAUUUUUCACCAUGGCAAACUCAAAGAUUCAAUUCAAAAGGCAAUUCUCAAGCAUGAAUAUAACUCACUGCAAUUGAUUCAACAUAAGUUUAAAGAGUCAUAACAUCAAUGGGGUCAUGGAAAGAAAAGCUCAUCCAACAUAGUUCAUCAAUUUUGAGUAGAGCAAAACAAAAAGAAGAAGAUGGUUGUGGUUGUGUGUGUAUUAUUGAAAACAAAAAUAAACUGAAAGAAAACUAAAAGCGUAAAUCGCAUAACUGAAAUUUUUUUUUUUUUUUGAAAAAUCUGAAAGGGGAAAUUGCAAAAGAGAGAAGAAGAAGAUAAAAAGAAAGAGAAAGAGAAGGAGAAGAAGAGAUAUGCACCCCCACACUUAAAUCAUGCAUUGUCCUCAAUGUAAAAGAAAAAAAGAGAAAAAGAGAAGAGAAGAGAAGAGAACAAAUGAAACUGAGUACUCCCCUAGGGUGUGGUGUGUAUGGCAUGAUCAUCUAGGCAGAAAGAGUGACGAACAGAUGUUCGUCUGGGAAGGCUUCCUCAACUGGACAAGGCGCGAAAGUGGAUGGAAGCCGGCUGAGGUGGUCUGCCACAAGAUUUUCUUUCCCUUUCUUGUCUCUUAUUUCUAAAUCAAAUUCUUGCAAUAGGAGGAUCCAUCGAAUGAGUCUUGGUUUUGCUUCCUUUUUCUUGAUCAAAUAUCGCAAGGCUGCAUGGUCAGAAUAGACAAUUACUUUGGUUCCCAAAAGAUAGGGUUUGAACUUUUCCAAGGCGAAUACAACUGCCAAGAGUUCUUUUUCAGUUGUUGUGUAGUUGCUCUGUGCAGCAUCCAGGGUGCGAGAGGCAUAGUGGAUGACGUCGGGUGAGUUUCCCACACGUUGCCCCAAGACUGCUCCAACUGCAUAAUUGCUUGCAUCACACAUGAUUUCAAAGGGCAAGCUCCAGUCAGGUCCCUGAAUGAUUGGGGCAGUCACAAGUAAUUCUUUAAUCAAAUCAAAUGCCUUUUUGCAAUCUGCAUCAAAAUCAAAUAUUACAUCCUGUUGGAGCAAUCUGCAUAAUGGCAAAGUAAUUUUUGAGAAAUCUUUGAUGAAUCUUCUAUAGAAUCCUGCAUGGCCAAGGAAUGAUCAAAUUUCUCUAACAUUAGUGGGGUAAGGCAGAUUUUUAAUGGUAUCUACUUUAUCCUUAUCCACUUCAAUGCCUUUAGCUGAAACAACAUGACCUAAAACCAUACCUUGAUUAACCAUAAAAUGACAUUUUUCAUAAUUAAGCACAAGGUUAGUCUCAAUGUAUCUUUGCAAGAUCUUUUCCAAGUUGGCAAGGCAUUCCUCAAAAGAGUUACCAUGCACUGUGAAAUCAUCCAUGAACACUUCAAUUGUCUUACCCACAUAAUCGGAAAAUAUACUCAUCAUGCAUCGCUGAAAGGUGGCAGGUGCAUUGCAUAGUCCAAAUGGCAUUCUCCUAAAGGCAAAAGUGCCAAAAGGACAAUUGAAGGUGGUCUUCUCUUGGUCCUCAAGAGCAACUGGAAUCUGAUAAAAACCUGAAUAACCAUCAAGACAACAGUAAUGGGACUUACCUGCAAGCCUUUCUAGCAUUUGAUCAAUGAAAGGAAGAGGGAAAUGGUCUUUCCUUGUUGCAGCAUUGAGCUUCCUAUAGUCCAUGCAUACUCUCCAUCCAUUUUGAACUCUAGUGGGGACAAGUUCCCCUUCAGCAUUUGGAACAAUGGUAAUUCCAGUUUUCUUUGAAACUACAUGCACCGGACUCACCCAUUUGCUAUCAGAGAUAGGGUAGAUAAUACCUGCAUCAAGGAGCUUGACUAUUUCUUUCUUCACUACUUCCAUCAUAGGUGGAUUCAGUCUUCUUUGAGCAUCUCUGACUGGCUUGCAUUCAUCCUCCAUGUGAAUCCUAUGCAUGCAUGUGGAAGAAGAAAUACCUUUUAUGUGAUCAAUGGUCCAUCCUAUGGCUCCUUUGUGUUUCUGCAGUACUUUUAGGAGGCUUGCUUCUUCAUGUUGGUUCAAUUCAUUGGACAUUAUUACUGGUAGUGUCUUGUUAGUCCCCAAGUACAUGUAUUUCAGAUGGCCUGGAAGAGGCUUCAGAUCUGAUUCUGAGAUUUUUUGAGGUGGAAUUUUGGCUGAACUUGGCUCUCCUUUUUCCAUUCUUGCGUGGCUUGUCUGCGUUGGAUAAAGAGUGGGAGAGAUCUGAGAUCGGGGCUGAAAGGAUGCGCCUGAGAGGCUUUCAGGUGCCUCUUUUUGCGCAGGUAGGGUCUGAACACCAUUCUGAAGUGGUGCCACUUAGUUUUCUUCAAUCUGUGCUUGACUGCAACCUAUCUGUUGGAUGCUACAGACCGUUUCCUUAAGUUCUGGCUCUUUUUGGCUCUCAGUAUGUAUGUGAUCAGUAUUUCUGCAUAAAUCACUGUUAAGAAUAUCAUCUUGAUUUUCAUCAAAAAUUUCCUGACUCAAGCAGUCAACAAUAUCAAGACCAUAAACAGGGGAUAUAUCAUGUGGAUAUUUCAUGGAAGCAUAGACAUUAUAUUUAAUCACUUCCCCUUCAAAUUCCAUAGUGAGAGUACCAUCAUGCACAUCAAUCUUAGUCCUAGCAGUACUCAAGAAAGGACGUCCAAGAAGUAUAUCAGAACUAGCAUUGCAAUUAUCUUCCUUAGUAUCAAUCACAUAAAAAUCAGCAGGAAAGACAAGUUCAUUUACUUGGACUAACACAUCUUCUAGAACACCUAUGGGAUAUACCACAGAUCUAUCAGCUAGCUGAAUCACAACUCUUGUUUCUUUGAGUGCACAUGCAUUGAGAGAUUUAUAGAUGGAGAGAGGCAUGACAUUAAUGGAUGCACCAAGAUCACACAUGGCUUUCUUUAUACCAACAUUCCCAAUCUUGCAAGAGAUAGCAAACAUACCUUUGUCCUUGCAUUUAGUAGGGAGUUCUCUUUUAAUAACAGCAGUCACUACCUCACCUACACUUACUUUUUCUCUUUCAGCAAGCUUCCUUCUAUUAGUGCAAAGUUCUUUCAGAAAUUUAGCGUACCUGGGAAUCUGCUUAACAGCAUCUAGCAGAGGUAUAUUGAUUUGCACUUUUCUGAAAGUGUCAAGAAUCUCCUUUUCUUCCUUUUCUUUUUGUGUUCUUUCAAAUCUCUUGGGAAAAGGAGGUGGAAUGUGGAAACUUACCUUGGGAUUAGUCUUUUGCGUAGGGGGAACUUCAGUUUGCGCAGGAGUGACUUUCGGGAUGGGUCUUUGCGCAAUGUGCUCUUCUGCAGUUGGUUCUUGCGCAUAGAUCUCCCUUUCAGAUUGUGUAGGAGGUGUUCUGUAACAGCCCGAAAAUCAGUACCUCUCCGUAACGGCUCGAACUAUCACCGGCACUAGGAUCCAGAUCGGCGUAAGGCCGCCGGGACCCGUAGUAAGCCAACUAUACUCGCUGUGUACCUGAUAGAUCCCAUACAUGAUAAAAAUACUCAACAAUCCUGUCAAACUCUCCAGGCUUAACUACUGCUACUCAGAUAUGCCAAUCUGAAAUGGCCCUAAGGGCCUAUACCAGUGACUACUAACUGCUGUGGGUCAAGGGAUUGAAACCCUUUUAAUCUAUAACACAAUCCACUGGUAUCUUAUCAAAGCCAUACAUUAAGCCUGAUUCACACAUUUCUCAUCAAGAAACGUAAAACAGGAUUUCAUAUAACAAGGGAUUAAUCAUACACCACACUACAGUAAAUACACUAGGGAAAGCACAAGUCUAUCCAGUAUAUGACAGUACAUAUCUAUACAUUACAUUACAACUAAUCUUUUAAUUACAUCAUGUCUACUAUGCUAUUACAAACAUACAUUCAUGCAUAUCUUUCUUUAUUCUUGCUGACUCUGACUUCCCAUAGCUAUCUCAGAACCUGCAAAACUGGGGUUAAGGGAGUGGGAUGAGCUCUAGAGCCCAGUGAGGAGGAACAAUAAAACAAUUCAUUAAUUACAUGUUUUCAUGAAAUGCAUCACAUCACAAACAUAUCAUCUCAUAGAUGAACUUGUCACCAAUAGCCCUCAACUACAUGUCACAAUAUGUCCCACUGUGCCAAGGAGACUAGGUCAUCACCUGGACUACUCUUAUCUCUGAUCUGACAGGCUGACUGUCUAACUCAUAGUACCAGGAGCGACCUGGACUAUCCAGGAGCGACCUGGUAUGGCUAUCACAUAGCCAACUCUCAUCUCUGUGUAUCUGAUCUCUUAUCAAGGGCUAAGGAUCAUCCAACAUUCAUCCUCACAAAUAACAUCUUAUGCAAUGCAUCAUAUUCGUGAAUUCUACUGCAACACAUCCUAAUACAUAACAUGGCAUUUUAUGAUGCAUGAAUCAUGCUAGAACCGUGUCAUUUCUCAAGUUAAAAUAUUAAGUUUAGUUCUACUCACCUCUGCUCCUCAAGAAGAUACUGAACUGACUCUGUAAGCACUAACACUGACGACUUCCUCGAUCUCUCGGGUCCAAACCUACACAAGUGGACUCGAAUGAGGUGUCAAACUAGCUCAACAAUCACUCUAUAGAAUUCCCCAUAAACCCCUUAAAAAGCUCUUAGAACAAUCACAUAAAGCAUGCAAAAGAAGGCUGGACAGAACACUUUCGGCGGCAGGUUCGGCGGCCGAAUGUCCUCUCCAGAGCCGAAACUCAAGCACCUUCGGUGGCCGAAUCUCUACUUUCGACAGCCGAAUCCUUUCGGGGGCAAAGUUCGGGGGCUGAAACACACUGAUAGAGCAUAUUUUAGCCCAUAUUUUCAUGAUCUUAUUAAUGUUUAUUUGCACCUAUUCUACCUAAUUUUGUGGUUUUAAUCAUGUUUUGCAAAUAUUAGGUGUGAAGAAACAAAUUGGAGAAAAUGCUCUUAAAAGUGCCAAAGAAUGCCAAAAAACAGCCACUUUCGGAAGCACCUUCGGAAGCACUUUCGAAAGCCAAAAGUCACCCACCUUCGGAACCACUUUCGGAACCACUUUCGGAAGCCGAAAGUCACCCACUUUCGGGGGCACUUUCGGCGGCCUAAAGUCAAGUCCAGAGGCGAAACUCCACCACUUUCGGGGGCACCUUCUGCCGCCGAACCUUGCGUCCAGAGCCGAAAGUCCAGCCUCCGAAACUCAUUUUAGGCAGCCGAAAAUCACCUUCAAUGCACUCUUUCCUUGUUCAAGAAGCCAUAUCCCAAGUUGCCAUAUUUGAGGAGCCAAAUAAGGGAAAUAUCUUGAGAUCCAAAUCUUCAAUAUUCACAUUCAAUUAUUGGAUUUCAAGAUCCCCCUUAUUAAGGAAAGAAAAUCCAAAGAUCACAUGCUUCCUACUUAGUGCCAUGCACAUUCAAAAUUUAAAAGGAGGCUCCACCUUCCUUAUUAGUGCAUGGGCAGCCUCUUAACUCUUUAGGCAACAUCUUGGAGACCUUGGGCAGCAAGUAAAAAGACCAAAGAGCCCCCACUUGCCUUCCAUCACAUACAACUCGUUUUUGCCUUCAUACAUGCACAAACAAGGCACAUGCAACACCAAGGACACUUUGGACAGCCUCUAAAAAGUCUCCUGGACUUCCAUGAAACCCUAGGCAGCCUCUCAAGAUCUAUUUAAAGGCUUCAAGAAGACAAGAAAGGCAGAUUUUGAAUCUCCCAACCUCUCCAAGGUUUGGCCGCCACUCCUCCACCACUUGUGCCACCACCGGUUCUUCCAUCUUCUUCUUUUCUUUUAUUUUCUGUUUUGGUUCAGCCAUGAGUGGCUGAAACCCUCUUUCUAGUUGAGGAUUGAUUGAAACUAAGGUUGUUUAAAAGGUUGUGAGAUCUGAAUAGAAACUUUUGUCUUUGAUUUUAUUCAAUAUUCAUGCAAUUAUGCUUAAUUCCAAGAUUGCUUUGUUGUUUUGAUCAAAUUGGCCACUUGAUUCUUGAUUGCAAAGUUAAUUAAUUGUUGGAUUAGGAUAUUUGUUAGUCCGUAAUUGCUGGAAAUAUUUUGAUCUAAGAACACUUGGUGUAAAAAUCCAAGGAAUUGCAUGAUCUAACAUCAUCUCAUGCGUUUGAGUAGUUAAGGUUUGGAUCUUUCUUGUUCUUCAUGCAAUUGGCAAUUGUUUUGAUGCCUAUGGCCCAAGGACGUUCCUUGGCAAUUUGUUGAUUAGUAAUUGGUUAGACGAUGUUCCCUAAUCAAUUUGUUCAUAAGGAAAGACAUGGUGGUGAGAAGCGUCUUCCACUCCCAUAACCAACCUAUUGAAUCAAUCAAGAUAACCAUGUUUCAAUGAUCAACCCAAACAACCAAAGUGGAUCCAUAUCUUCAACUAUACUUUUCUCUUAUUGAUUUCUCUCUUAUUUUAGAUUACUUGCUGUUUUAAUUGCUUUCAAUAGUUAUUAGACAAAUCAAUCUCAAAACCCCCCUUUUUACUUUCCUUGCAUUUUACUUUUACUCUAUUUGCGAUUACUUGCUUUCUAUUGUGUUUUCAAUUAGUUCUAUUGGUCUUGAUUGAGAUAAAUAAAUAGGUAUCAAUUCUCUGUGGAUACGAUCCUUCACCACUGUCUACAGUUGUAAAUUGUAGGUAACCAAGAAGGUUAUUUUUGACCGGCUUCGACAACCGCUCCUGUGAAAAAUUGGCGCCGUUGCCGGGGAACUGAUUUCACUUGUUUAUUUUUCUUUCAUGACCAGAUCUGAAAGUAGGGACACACUGCCCUUUGAUCCAGAAAUCGAACGCACUCUCAGAAGACUUGGAAAGCAAGCCGCAGAACCUUCUGCCCAACAUUCGGCCGCCGAACCCAACCCACAUUCGGCCGCCGAAAGUCCGACACUCCAGCAACCCAAUCUUGCGCCAAUGGCAGAACCUCAAGCACCAGCUGCUGCCCAUGAUGGACAUGCUGUCCAAGGCCAGAUAGUUCAAGAAAAUCCAGCAAAUAGGCCACAAGCACAAAGGGAGAGAACCAUGAGGGAGUUAGCAACUCCUAUAGGUGAUUAUGCUCCACUUUGCAUCACCUAUCCACCUCUAAUAGUUCCCUUUGAACUGAAAUCAGGUUUGAUUCAUCAACUCCCUAAAUUUAGAGGUUUACCAAAUGAAAAUCCACAUAAGCACUUAAAAGAAUUUAAAAUUAUUUGCUCAUCCAUGAGACCUCAAGGGAUCUCUGAAGAUCAUGUUAAACUAAGAGCCUUCCCUUUUUCAUUAGAUGACCAUGCUAAGGAUUGGUUAUUUUAUUUGCCAUCUGGAUCUAUAACUUCUUGGGAUGAUAUGGUCCAAACCUUUUUGGACAAAUACUUCCCACCAUCUAAAUCAAUUGGCAUAAUAAGAGAAAUCACUAGCAUAAAGCAAAGACCAACUGAGGACUUAUAUGAUUAUUGGGAAAGGUUUGAAAGACUUUAUACAGGUUGUCCACAACAUGAUAUGUCAGACAAGGCCCUCAUUCAGUUCUUCUAUGAAGGAUUGACUCCAUCAGAAAGGAAACUCAUAACUGUAGCCUGUGGAGGAUCUAUCCUAGACAAGACACCUAGGGAGAUGAAGGAACUCAUAUCCAACCUUGCAGCUUCAUCUAAGCAAUAUGAAGAAGAGGGGCAAACGCAAAGAGGAACCUAUGAGGUAAGUAUAUCCUCUGUUGAAUCUCAAAUUUCAAAACUAACUUCUCUUGUGGAAAAGAUCGCCCUUGGCCAGAUCCAACAAAAUCAAGCACCCCAGCCUCCUAGGCCAUGUGAGAUUUGUUUAGGUGUGGGACACCCAACUGAUCAAUGUCCCACACUCCAAGAAGACCAUCAGCAAGCCAAUGCAAUUGGGAGGUACAACAACCAACCUAGACAUGAUCCCUAUUCCAGUACGUACAAUCCAGGUUGGAGGGACCACCCCAACUUCAGCUAUGGAAAGACCGACAAUAAUCAGAAUUACCAAAGUUACCAAAGAAAUCAAGCUCAACCAGCACCCUCAAAUCCAAAUCAGAACCUUGAGAAGAUCAUGCAAACAAUGAUGGAAACCAUGGUGAACACCAUGCAAAGCGUGCGACAAGACCUAAGCCAAAUGGCCACCUCUAUAGGCCAACUGCAAACCCAAGGUAAGCUCCCUUCUCAAACUGAAACUAACCCUAGACAAAAUGUCAGUGCUAUUACUUUGAGAAGUGGCAAAGAACUUCAAGAUGCUAAUCAUGAGCAAGAAAAGGAAGUUGAACCAAGGCCACCUGAAGCCUCUCCAUCUCAAUCUGAACCACCUCAUGCGCACAAAGCUUAUCCAAAGGGAAGUUUCCACAUCCCACCACCUUUUCCAAAAAGAUUUGAAAGAACGCAAAAAGAAAAAGAGGAAAAGGAGAUCCUUGAGACAUUUAGAAAAGUGGAGAUCAACAUACCACUGCUAGAUGCUGUCAAGCAAAUUCCUAGAUAUGCCAAAUUUCUGAAAGAAUUGUGCACCAACAGAAGAAAGCUUGCUGAAAGAGAGAAAGUAAGUGUAGGUGAGGUAGUUACUGCUGUUAUUAAAAGAGAACUCCCCACCAAAUGCAAGGACAAAGGUAUAUUUGCUAUCUCUUGUAAAAUUGGGAAUGUUGGUAUCAAGAAAGCCAUGUGUGAUCUUGGUGCAUCCAUUAAUGUCAUGCCUCUCUCCAUCUAUAAAUCUCUCAAUGCAUGUGCACUAAAAGAAACAAGGGUUGUGAUACAAUUGGCUGAUAGAUCUGUGGUAUAUCCCAUAGGUGUUUUAGAAGAUGUCUUAGUCCAAGUAGGUGAACUUGUCUUUCCUGUUGACUUUUAUGUGAUUGAUACCAAGGAAGACAGUUGCAAUACUAGUUCUGACAUUCUUCUUGGACGUCCUUUCUUGAGUACUGCUAGAACUAAAAUUGAUGUGCAUGAUGGUACUCUUACCAUGGAGUUUGAAGGGGAAGUAAUCAAGUACAAUGUUUAUGAAGCCAUGAAAUAUCCUCAUGAUAUGUUCCCUGUUUAUGGUCUUGAUAUUAUUGAUUGUUUGAGCCAAGAUGUGUUUAAUGAAAAUCAAGAUUCUGUUUUAGAUGAUGAUCUUUGCAGGAUUGAAAACCUGAAACUAAAAGAAACAAUCUGCAGCAUUCAGCAAGUUGAGAUCAAGCAGACAGAAGAUCUUCGGCCGCCGAACAUAGCUCACUUUCGGCCGCCGAACUCCACUGACCUUCAGACACCACCUUCUGUCGCACCACUUCAGGAAAACAUUGCUCGGAAAGAAGACAUUCUUCGGCCGCCGAACAUCUUUCGGCUGCCGAACCUCACUGACUUGCGGAAGCCGAAUCCAUCGCCAAAGCUCAUUCCGCAAGUUGAAGAACUUCGGCCGCCGAACCCAGCACCUUUUCGGCCGCCGAACCUCUCCCAGCAGAAUCCACUGCAAGCAUGCCUUCCUGAAUCUGAAGAAACCAAGGAAGACCUCCUUGAACAAAUCUUCCUUACCCAGUCUAAUGAGCCAUGGUACGCCGAUAUGGUAAACUACUUGGCCACAGGUAACUUACCUUCUGAUAUGCCCAAGCACACUAAGGAUAAAAUAAAAAAGGAUGCCAAAUACUAUGUUUGGGAUGAGCCAUAUUUGUGGAAAUAUUGUGCUGACCAAAUGAUAAGAAGAUGCAUUCCUGAUCAAGAAAUAACCUCUGUACUUACUUUUUGUCAUUCAUAUAGUUGUGGAGGACACUUUGGUCCAAGGAAAACUGCUCAUAAGAUACUUGAAAGUGGCCUAUUUUGGCCCACCAUGUUUCGAGAUGCUUUUCUGUUUUGCAGGACAUGUGCUAGGUGUCAACAGACUGGAAAUCUGAACAAAAGAAAUCAAAUGCCACAAAACCCCAUCAUGGUUUGUGAGGUAUUUGAUGUUUGGGGCAUAGACUUCAUGGGACCAUUCCCACCAUCCUUUGGAUACACUUAUAUCAUCUUUGCAGUGGAUUAUGUAUCCAAGUGGGUGGAGGCUAGAGCAACUAAGACUGAUGAUGCCAAGGCAGUGAUAGACUUUGUGAAAACCAACAUCUUUGCCAGACAUGGAGUACCAAAAGCAAUCAUCAGUGAUAAAGGGACCCAUUUUUGCAAUAGGGUAGUGGAAAGCCUUCUUAGAAAACACAAUGUCAUCCACAGAACAUCCACAGCCUACCACCCUCAGACGAAUGGACAAGCUGAAGUGUCCAACAGAGAAAUCAAAGCCAUCCUUGAAAAGACAGUUUCUCCCAACCGAAAGGAUUGGAGCUCAAGAUUAGAGGAUGCCUUAUGGGCCUACAGAACAACCUACAAGACUCCCAUAGGUAUGUCUCCUUAUAGACUUGUCUAUGGAAAAGCUUGUCACCUCCCAGUUGAGCUUGAGCACAAAGCAUAUUGGGCUGUAAAGAACUGCAACAUGGACCUCAAAGAAGCCGGACACCAUCAUAAGUUACAACUGCAAGAACUUGAGGAAAUAAGACGAGAUGCAUAUGAGAACUCUUGGAACUACAAAACAAAGACCAAAGCCUCCCAUGACAAUCAUCUUUUAAGAAAACAAUUUGAGGUUGGUGAUAAAGUCUUACUUUUUGACUCUCGCCUGAAACUGUUCCCAGGAAAGCUACGAUCUAGGUGGAUUGGACCAUUCAUUGUAGAACAUGCAUACCCACAUGGAGCUGUAGACAUCCGAAGCAUAGAAACUGGAAAAAUCUUCAAGGUUAAUGGACAUCGUCUUAAACCAUACUUUGAAGGGUUCGCAGUACAAGUAGUGGAAGAAAUUCCACUACAACAUCCUUCUGCCUAGAGGAUCAUGCCAUGCACACCACACCCCAGGGGAGUAUUCAGAUUCCUUUGUUCUCUUUUUUCCUUCUUUUACAUUGAGGACAAUGCAUAAUUUAAGUGUGGGGGUGCAUAUAGCUUCUUCUUCUUCUUCUCUUCUUCUGCGAUUUUCUCAUGCUUUCAGAUUGCAAAUUUUUCUUUUUCUUUUCUUUUUCCUUUCAGUCUUAAGUUAAUUAGCCACAGUUAAAUUUUAAUUUGUUUAUGCUUUCAAUAAAACACACACAACCACAACCUUCUUCUUCUUCUUUUUGUUUUGCUCUACUCAAACUGAUGAACUAUGUUAGAUGAGUUUUUCUUUCCAAGACCCCAUUGAUGUGAUAACUCUUUAAACUUAUGUUGAAUCAAUUGCAGUGAGUUGUAUUCAUGCUUGAGAAUUGCCUUUUGAAUUGAAUCUUCGAGUUUACUAUGGUGAAAAAUAUAUUGAUGACCCUCAAUCGAUUGAGAAUAAAUUAAAAUUGUGUGAAUGAACUUAACAUGACUUGAUUUAGCAAUUGGUGUUGAUUUGCCCAAAUCAUUGAGAGAAAGAAAAUUCAGCAAAGGCAAAGACCUCAAAAGCACAAAUUGAAAAUUGUUUCAAUGGUCAAAAGACUAUGAACAAGGCAAGUAGCCACUUGGAUAGGUGACCAACUGAAAAAUAUAAACCUCCAAAUCAAAAAUAGGUUGGUGAUCUUUCCAAGCAAGAUCUAAAGUGAAAAAGCCUGAAUAAAGUACUUCAAGGUAAGGGCAAGUCAAUCCAAAAGUUAGAAAAAGUCUUAACAAAUUAAUGUGCAUGUCUCUCUUGAGGAAAACAAAUCCUAGCCAUGGUAAGCAAAGGGAAACAAGGAAAGGGGGUAAGUAAUCUUCAUGCAUAUAUUCUUCACUGCAAUGCUUCAAAAUAAGUGUCUAGAGUAUGAGCUUAAGUGGUAAUAAGGAUCUAGAGGAAGAGAACUUAUUUGACUAUGUUUAUUUGCUUGAGAACAAGCAAAAGCUUAAGUGUUGGGGUAUUUGAUAGAGCAUGUUUUAGCCCAUAUUUUCAUGAUCUUAUUAAUGUUUAUUUGCACCUAUUCUACCUAAUUUUGUGAUUUUAAUCAUGUUUUGCAAAUAUUAGGUGUGAAGAAACAAAUUGGAGAAAAUGCUCUUAAAAGUGCCAAAGAAUGCCAAAAAACAGCCACUUUCGGAAGCACCUUCGGAAGCACUUUCGGAAGCACUUUCGGAAGCCGAAAGUCACCCACUUUCGGGGGCACUUUCGGCGGCCUAAAGUUAAGUCCAGAGGCGAAACUCCACCACUUUCAGGGGCACCUUCGGCCGCCGAACCUUGCGUCCAGAGCCGAAAGUCCAGCCUCUGAAACUCAUUUUAGGCAGCCGAAAAUCACCUUCAAUGCACUCUUUCCUUGUUCAAAAAGCCAUAUCCCAAGUUGCCAUAUUUGAGGAGCCAAAUAAGGAAAAUAUCUUGAGAUCCAAAUCUUCAAUAUUCACAUUCAAUUAUUGGAUUUCAAGAUCCCCCUUAUUAAGGAAAGAAAAUCCAAAGAUCACAUGCUUCCUACUUAGUGCCAUGCACAUUCAAAAUUUAAAAGGAGGCUCCACCUUCCUUAUUAGUGCAUGGGCAGUCUCUUAACUCUUUAGGAAACAUCUUGGAGACCUUGGGCAGCAAGUAAAAAGACCAAAGAGCCCCCACUUGCCUUCCAUCACAUGCAACUCGUUUUUGCCUUCAUACAUGCACAAACAAGGCACAUGCAACACUAAGGACACUUUGGACAGCCUCUAAAAAGUCUCUUGGACUUUCAUGAAACCCUAGGCAGCCUCUCAAGAUCUAUUUAAAGGCUUCAAGAAGACAAGAAAGACAGAUUUUGAAUCUCCCAACCUCUCCAAGGUUUGGCCGCCACUCCUCCACCACUUGUGCCACCACCGGUUCUUCCAUCUUCUUCUUUUCUUUUAUUUUCUGUUUUGGUUCAGCCAUGAGUGGCUGAAACCCUCUUUCUAGUUGAGGAUUGGUUGAAACUAAGGUUGUUUAAAAGGUUGUGAGAUCUGAACAGAAACUUUUGUCUUUGAUUUUAUUCAAUAUUCAUGCAAUUGUGCUUAAUUCCAAGAUUGCUUUGUUGUUUUGAUCAAAUUGGCCACUUGAUUCUUGAUUGCAAAGUUAAUUAAUUAUUGGAUUAGGAUAUUUUUUAGUCCGUAAUUGUUGGAAAUAUUCUGAUCUAAGAACACUUGGUGUAAAAAUCCAAGGAAUUGCAUGAUCUAACAUCAUCUCAUGCGUUUGAGUAGUUAGGGUUUGGAUCUUUCUUGUUCUUCAUGCAAUUGGCAAUUGUUUUGAUGCCUUUGGCCCAAGGACGUUCCUUGGCAAUUUGUUGAUUAGUAAUUGGUUAGAGGACGUUCCCUAAUCAGUUUGUUCAUAAGGAAAGACAUGGUGGUGAGAAGCGUCUUCCACCCCCAUAACCAACCUAUUGAAUCAAUCAAGGUAACCAUGUUUCAAUGAUCAACCCAAACAACCAAAGUGGAUCCAUAUCUUCAACUAGACCUUUCUCUUAUUGAUUUCUCUCUUAUUUUAGAUUACUUGCUGUUUUAAUUGCUUUCAAUAGUUAUUAGACAAAUCAAUCUCAAAACCCCCCUUUUUACUUUCCUUGCAUUUUACUUUUACUCUAUUUGCGAUUACUUGCUUUCUAUUGUGUUUUCAAUUAGUUCUAUUGGUCUUGAUUGAGAUAAAUAAAUAGGUAUCAAUUCUCUGUGGAUACGAUCCUUCACCACUGUCUACAGUUGUAAAUUGUAGGUAACCAAGUAGGUUAUUUUUGACCGGCUUCGACAACCGCUCCUGUCACACACUCCAGAGACGAAAGUCUCUAACCUUCGGCGGCACCUUCGGCGGCCGAAUCCCCCUUCCAGAGCUGAAACUCAAAACGCUCAGGGGUAAGCUGUGGCAGCCGAAGCCACCUCUUCAGGGGUUCGGCGGCUGAAUGUACCUUCGGCUGCCGAACCUGAGUUCAUCCAGAAGUCAUCCCCGACGGCAACAAGCUCCUCCUCCUUCCUCACGCCCAAAAACAUGCAAAACUCCCUCCUCAACAUACAUAUACUCUAGUAUAUGCACCAAGGGGUCCAAAACUAACUUAAAACCCCAACAAAAACAACAAACAUAACACCUAUACAAGCUUUCACCCAUAAAAUACCAAAACACAUACUUUUACCCUAAUCAUUCAACUCUACCCAAAACCUCCAUAAAACCUCUAUAAAUCAGUAAAAGAAGUUCAAGAUCUUCACUUACCUCUUGAAUACAAGAAGAGGAACAAUCUGAACUAGAGCAACUCUCCUUCAAACUCUCCAACACACAAAACUUCUCUUUUUAGCUUAAAACCUUCAAAACACAAUGAAAACCAAUCAAACCUAGGCAAGCUUUGAUAAAAUCCUAAAAAAUACUCAUGGAGGACGGAACCUUACCUCUGGCAGUGAAAAGAUAAGCUAUUCUUAUCCAUUUCACCGACUGGAGGCAUGAUAUAGGUCGCAAACCGCCUCUCCUUCGGCUGCCGAACCUGCAUGCAAAACCAUGCAACGUUCAGCGGCCGAACUUGGAGUUUCGAAAGCCGAAUCUAAGGCACUUUCGGCUGCCGAACUUCACUUCGGCGGCCGAACCUGGCCAAAUCCUCCUUGGUCUUUUCUCUUCAAAACUUAAGCCGUUUCCAUUCUAAACCUUUAAAACACUUGAAAACAUUUUAGAAAACCUUUCGCUUACCCUUCUAGAAACCUCUGACAUCCUCGCAUUCCACCGGACGGUAGAAAUUCCGAUGUCUGAAUCUAGCCGGGUAUUACAUGUUCUUUCAUCAAUCUUGGCCUCUUGAAGCUCUUUUCCACUUCUCAAAGUAAUGGCACUGAAAUUUUGUCUGGGAUUAGUUUCAGUUUGAGAAGGGAGCUUACCUUGAGUUUCAGAAUUGCCUCUUGAUGUGGUCAGUAGAUCCAUGCGCUGAUUGAGACUUUGUAUAGCGCUUGCCAUGGAUUCCAUCAUCUUUUCAAGGUGCUGAUUUGGAUUUGAAGGUGUUGGUUGGGCUUGACUUCUUUGGAGAAUUUGGUAAUUCUGACUAUUGUUGGCCCUUCCAUAGCUGAAAUUGGGAUGGUCUCUCCAACCUGAAUUGUAUGUAUUGGAGUACGGAUCAUGUCUAGGCUAGUUGUGGUACCCUCCAAUGGCAUUGACUUGGUGAUGAUCUUCUUGGAGUGUGGGACAUUGAUCAGUUGGGUGUCCUACAUAAGCACAGAUCUCACAUGGCCUAGGUGGUGGAAUUGCUUGCAUUUGUUGGACUUGGCCAAGGGCGAUCUUUUCCACAAGAGAAGUUAGUUUUGAAAUUUGAGAUUCAACAGAGGAUGUACUUACCUCAUAGAUUCCUCUUUGCGUUUGCCCCUCUUCUUCAUAUUGCUUAGAUGAGGCUGCAAGAGUGGAGAUUAGUUCUUUCAUCUCUCUUGGUGUUUUGCCUGCAAUGGAUCCUCCACAAGCUACGUCAAUAUAUCUCCUUUCUGAAGGGGUUAAUCCUCCAUAGAAGAAUUGUAUAAGUGACCUGUCUGACAUAUCAUGUUGUGGACAACCUGUGCAAAGUCUUUCAAACCUUUCCCAAUAAUCAUAUAAGUCUUCAGUUGGUUUUUGUUUUAUGCUAGUGAUUUCUCUUAUUAUGCCAAUUGAUUUAGAUGGGGGAAAGUAUUUGUCCAAAAAGGUUUGGACCAUAUCAGCCCAUGAAGUUAUAGAUCUAGGUGGCAAAUAAAAUAACCAAUCUUUAGCAUAGUCAUCUAAUGAAAAAGGGAAAGUUCUUAAUUUAACAUGAUCUUCAGAAACACCUUGAGGUGUCAUAGAUGAACAGACAAUGUUGAAUUCUUUCAAGUGCUUGUGUGGAUUUUCAUUUUGCAAACCUCUAAAUUUAGGGAGAUGAUGAAUCAAACCUGAUUUUAGUUCAAAGGGAACUGUUAGAGGCGGGUAGGCGAUGCAAAGUGGUGCAUGAUCACCUAUGGGUGUUGCUAACUCCCUCAUGGUUCUUUCUCUUUGUUCUUGGGGCCUAACUGCUGGAUUUUCUUGAAUUAUUUGGUCAUGUCCAUUAUUGGCAACAAGUUGUGGAUUAGGUUCAGCCAUUAGUGAGGCUUGUUGGUAAAAUUCGGUUGCUUCAGAUGAAGCUUCUGUGGCUUGCUUUCUAAGUCUUCUGAGAGUGCGUGCAAUUUCUGGAUCAAAGGGCAGUGUGUCCCUGCGUUCAGAUCUGGUCAUGAAAAGAAAAUUAAACAAGUAAAAUCAAUUCCCUGGCAACGGCGCCAAUUUUUAACUCUCGGUUGUCGAAGCCGGUCAAAAAUAACCUUUCUGGUUAUCAACAAUUUACAACUGCAGAUAGUGGUGAAAGGAUCGAAUCCACAAAGAAUUGAAAACUUAUUUAUUUUUCUCAACAAGACCAAGAGAAUUAACUGAAAUAACAAUAAACAAAAAAUGAGAUAAAAACUGAAAGUGGGAUCAAAUGAGAUAAACUGAAAAUUGGGAUCAAAAACUGUCAACAAAAUAACAGGGGGGUUUGAGAUUGAUUGUAGUAAACUAAAAUUGAGAAUAAUAAAGGAAAGCAAGUAAUAAAAUAAAGAGUAAUCAAUAAUAAGAAAGUUCUAGUUGAAGUAUUGGAUCCACUUUAGUUGUUGGGAUUGAUCACAGACACUUUGUUCUUUUGGGUUGAUUCGAUAGAUUAGUUCAUGGAGAUGGAAGACGCUUCUCACCACCAUUAUCUCUCCUUAUGAUGAAACCAAUUAGGGAACGUCCUCUAAUUAAUUACUAAUUAACAAAUUGCCAAGGAACGUCCUUGGGCCUUAGGCAUCAAAACAAUUGUUAAUUGCAUUAAGAAAUAGAGAGAUCUAAUCCUAGCUACCCAAACGUAUGGAGAUAAUGCUAGAUCAUGCAAUUUCCUUGGGUUUUAUCCCAAGUGUUUUCAUGUAAGAAUAACCCAAGCAAUUACGGACUUAAAUUAUUCAAACUAACAAAUAAUUAUUUUGCAAUAAAAAAUCAACGUAGAUCUCAAUAACAAAAUAAUAUGAGAAUUAAAUAUGAAAUUGCAUGAAUAUUGAAUUCCCAAAAUUAAACAAUAUUUGAUCAAGUCUCACAACCCAUUAACCAACUAAAGUUUCAACCAAUAUUCAACUAGAUAAAGAAAUCAACCACUCAUUGGCUGAAUUAAAAAUGUAAAAAUAAAUAGGAAAAAAAGAAAGAAAAGAAAAUAAGGAACCGCCCAGAAGCUUUGCGGAAAUUACCGAGUGAUGGAGUUACUGUGAUUGUCCACUUAAGAGUCCUUAAAUAGGACGAGAGGAGUGCGUGACCUAGCUCUCACGUGCGCGCAAAAUGGUGAACUGUUGUCUGUGUGCUUGAGCUUGUGCGUGCGUGAGUGUGCUCGGACCAUGUGAAGGAUGCGCGGGCCCAUGUGCUUGUGAUUGUGCGUGAACUUGGUCCUCACGCAUGAGUGGGCUGUCCACGGUGGAGUGCUGGCCAUGUGAUUGGGCUUGAUCCAAGGUGAAGGAGCGCGCGGGUCAUGUGCGGGAAUGCGCGGAGUGGUCCAUGUGCGGGGACUUGGGCUGUUCGUGGGUGUUGAGCGUCUGGUGGGGCCACGUGUGGGUAUUUGUCCAUGGUGAAAUGGUCCAUGUUGCGCUGAUGUGGUCCACGUGCGUGUAAGGAUGAAGUGAUGAGCUGCCCAUGUGUGGGAACUUGUUGAGGCGUGAGUGGGCUGCUCAUGUAGUGCUUGGUGGGCUGCGUGAGUGGGCUUCCAAGUGUGUUGACGGGUCCAUUGUGAAGCGGAUCGGGUGUCCUUUGCUGCCCAAUUAUUUCUUGGCUCCAAAUAAGGCAGUUUUAGGGAGAUUUUCUCCAAAAUGUCAUUUUUCAUAAUUUUCUGCAAAAUAAUAUUAAAAAUAAUAAAUUAAGCAGAAAUCAUGUAAAUAUUCAUCAAUAAUAUUAAUAUAAAUUGGACAAAAUUAUGCUCUAUCAGUCCCUCAUUUGAGUCCACCUGUGUAGGUUCGGACUAGAGGAACCGAGGACCCCAGCAGUGAGUCAGCUGCUUCAGUCUUUGUCAGAGCUAGCUGAGGUGAGUAGAAUAAACCUUUAUGUUUUAAAGCAAAUAAAUUAUAAAGUUAGAGCAUGUUCAUGCAUCAUGAAUGUCAUGUGAUGAUUUAGGUUGUUUACAUUAGAAUUCACGAAUAUGUUGCAUUGCAUAAUUUGAUGAUGAUGUGGAUGGUUAUUGGAUGAUCCUUAGUCCUCGAUAUGAUGCGAUGUGAUAUGAUACGGUAUGGUACGGAAGUCCAGGUUGUACCCAUUCUACGUCCUUGGCACUAUGUAAGAGAAAGUCCAGGUUGUACCCAUUCUACAUCCCUGGCACAUUGGAAUGUUAUGUUAUGUUAUGUUAAGAGAAAGACCGGUUAACCCAUUCUACGUCCCGGCACUUUGGAAUGUAGAGGACUAUUGGUGACAAUACCAUAAUGGCAUAUGAUUUAAAUGUUUUUAUUAUUCUGCUCACUGGGCUCUAGUAGCUCACCCCUUUUCCCUAAUCCCCCAGGGUUGCAGGUACAGGCUAGUCAGAGGAGUUAAGGUGAAUGAAGUCUUGAAUUGUAAUAGUUAGGAUGUGGACAUGAUAAAUUGUAUAAUGAUGUAAAGUUAAGAAUAAUUAUAUUUGGUAAAUGUUGAUUUUGAGAUUGAGGUUUAGAAUUGUGCUUGACCGAGUUUGUAUAGUAAUCCCUUUGUAAACAUGAUCUAUGUUUAAAAUGCUUAUGUCCUUCCAAGCUUGUGUAUGAUGAGAUGCCCCAUUGGAGCGUAUGUUGAGAGCUCCGGUGUAGGGUUUAUGUUUAUGUUUAUGUCUAUGUUUAUGUGCAUGCACAGGUUGAGCUUGGUAAAAGUAAAGAAAAGUUCAAAUUUUUAUGUAUGUUGUUGAUCAUGUAUGGGAUUAAACAGGUUUACAGGUUGUAGGUCAGGCUUGCUACGGGUCCCGGCGGCCUUAAGCCGAUCUGGAUCCUAGCGCCGGUAGCGGUCCGAUUUUCGGGUCGUUACAUUACUUGCUGCCCAAGAGGCUGCUUGCUGUCCAAGUUGUGUCUGAAAAGGAAGGACGCGUGUGGCAAGGCUUUCAGAAGGAAAGAGAUGUUGUCCAAACUUUCCUUUUUAGGUGGAUCCUUCUUUUGAAUUUCAAAUUUUGAAUACUGAAUGCAUGAGAGGCAAGUGCAUCUUCUUGAGAUCUCGCUUCCUGAAUAGGAAGAAUUGACUGUUGAGGUGUCUGCAUAUCUUUAAACAAGGAAAGAAAGAUCUGCAAUUUGAAUUUCAAAUAAUCUGCUGACUGCGCUUUCCUUAUCUGUUUUUGCUUCUGCACUUUCCUUAUUUGACACUUUUCUUAUUUGAAACUUUCCAUAUUUGGCACUUUUUGACAGUUUUAAGAGCAUUUUCACCAGAUUGUCUCUUUACACCUAUUUUCUGCAAAACAAGACCAAAACCACAAAAUUAGACAGAAAAAGUGUAAAUGAACAUCAAUAAUAUCAUGAUAAAAUGGUCUAAAUUAUGCUCUAUCAAAUACCCCCACACCUAGCCUUUUGCUUGUCCUCAAGCAAAUAAACUUAGUCCAACAAGCUCUCUUUGCUUUUGAUCCUUUAUGUCCAUUUAAGCUCUUACUCUAAACCCCUAUUUUGAAUCAUUGCAGUGAAGAAUAUAUGCAUCAAGGUUACUCACCUUCUUUCCUUAUUUCCCUUUACUUACCAUGGCUAGGAUUAGUUUUCCUCAAGAGAGAGAUUACACAUGCACAUUUUAUUUGUUCAAUUAAGACUCUUUCUAGCUUUCAUAGUGAUUUGCCCUUACCUUGAAGUACUUAUUCAACUUUUUGCACUUAAUCUUGCUUGAAAAAGUCACCAACCUUUUGACGUGAAGGUACAUAUUGGUGAUACCCACCUCCAGUUACUUAGUUGGUCACCUGUCCAAGUGGCUACUAGCUCUGUUCAUAGUCUUUCAACCAUUGGAACAGUUUUCAAUUUGUGCUCAUGAAGUCUAGGCCUUUGCCGAAUUUUCUUUCUCAAUGAUUUGGGCAAAUCAACACCAAUCGCUAAAACAAGUCAUGUUAAGUUCAUUCACACAAUUUUCAAUUCAUUCUCUCUAAUGAGUGUCAUCAAUAUAUUUUUCACCAUGGCAAGCUCAAAGAUUCAAUUCAAAAGGCAAUUCCCAAAAUGAAUACAACUCACUGCAAUUGAUUCAACAUAAGUUUAAAGAGUCAUCACAUCAAUGGGGUCAUGGAAAGAAAGCUCAUCCAACAUAGUCUAUCAGUUUAAGCGAAGCAAAUCGGAACACAAAAAGGAAGAAGACUGUGGUUGUGUGUAUUAUUGAAAACAGAAACGAAAAAUUGAAAAAAAUCACAAUGAAAACAAAAACAAAAAUUCAAACUGAAAAUCAAAGGAAAAAUAAACAAAAAUAAAGAUUCAAAAAUAUGCACCCCACACCUAAAUCAUGCAUUGUCCUCAAUGUCUUGGAAAAAUUAAAAUGCAAAAGAAAACUGAUUACUCCCCUGGGUGUGGUGCGCAUGGUGCGAUCCAUUUGAUCAAGGCUCAAGUAAUUGGGGAAGGGAAAAGGGUCCCAACUGAAUUGAGUGAAAAGUGUAGCACUCCUUUUGAUUUGGUCAUAUCCCAUCCUAUUUUUUUCAUGUACUCAUGAAGCAACAUGAUUAGCUUCUCCUCUUUCAGGUGAGGUGUGCCUCUAGCCCUUAUGUUUGCAUUUUUGAGAUGAUUGGGCAAUACUUUGAACUCCAAUUCAUGUUUCUCCAUGGCUAGUUGCAAUCUAGUACUGAAUUCAGGCAAAACAAACUCUACCUUAUCCGGAGGUUUGAGCAGGCAUUGAUCCGCAUGGUCCUUUGGUUUAGGUGCUUGGAAUACCAUUUGUUCCAUGUGCGCAUGGACUGUUUGCAUUGGCUGUAUGGUUGAAUUGGUUUGAGUUUGCUCCUUCUGCGCAAGAUUGAUAUGCAAUGGAAGGCUGGAAGGAGUUUCAUGCGAUGGAAGCUGAAUAGGUGCAAUGGGAAGUGUUGCAGGAUUGUCCUGCGAUCCAAGCUAAGGUGGUUCGGUUGGAGUUCCCUCUGUCUGCGCAAGGCUGAUCCGAAGAGGUGCGAUUGGCUCUCCCUUAUUCUGCACAUGGUUGCAGUCCACCUGUUGGAUGCAACAGACAGUGUCCUUUAGUUCUGGCUCUUUUUGGCUCUCUUCCCUGCAAAGAUCAUUGUUCAGAAUAUCAUCUUGAUUUAUAUCAAAAACAUCUUUUCUCAAACAAUCAAUGAUAUCUAAGCUAUCAACAGGUUCUGUUUGACUAGUUUGUUUGGACAAAUAGUAUUCUGGUUGAUUCUCUUCAGCAGCUUGUUCUUGUACUUGUGAGCUUUCAUCAUCAGCCUUGGCAUCUUGAAACUCUUCCUCUCUUCUUAACAUGAUUGCACUCAUUGAGGUGGUCAUUUGAUCCACCUGCUGUUGGAGGCUUUGUACAGAAAUUGCCAUUGUCUCUAUCAUCUUCUCAAGGUGCUGGUUGGAACUUGGAGGUACUGGUUGGGCUUGAUAUCCUUGAUAAUCCUGGUAGUCGUUAGCCCCUGCAUAACUGAAGUCUGGAUAGUCUCUCCAGCCUGGAUUGUAUGUGUUAUAGUAUGGGUCAUGUUUAGGCUGGCUAUUGAAUCCUUCAAAUGCAUAUCUAGGCUGACUAUUGAAUCCUCCAAAUUCAUGUACUUGCUGAGUAUUGAAUCUUUCAAAUGCAUGCACUGGUUGGUCAUACUCAUAAAGUGUAGGACAUUGAUCAGUUGGGUGUCCCACAUAUGCACAGAUCCUACAUGGCCUAGGUGGCUGGGAUGCUUGAGCUUGUUGAGCUAGUCCUAUGGAAAAAUCUUUCAUAACAGAUGUGAGUUCAGAAAGUUGAGAAUAGAGAACAGAUGUACUUACCUCAUCCAUGAUUCAGAUCUGCGAUGGUGACUUGCUUUGGUGAGAGGAUGGGCAAUCCGAAUGGUGAAGAGAAGGUGAGAUGUGUGAUGGAGAUAUUUUAGAGGUGGGAUCUGCGAUGGUGGCGUCUUCAGAGGCAGAUUCGAUGGUGCUUUGUUCCUGAUUUUUUCCUGAAAGAAAAACAAAUAAGUUAAAUCAAUUUCCCGGCAACGGCGCCAAUUUUUGACUCGCGGUUAUUGAAGCCGGUCAAAAAUAACCUUUCCGAUUAUCAAUAAUAUUACUACUGCAGAUAGUGGUAAAGGAUCAAAUCCACAGAGAAUUAAAAACUUAUCUAUCUUUCUUAACAAGACCAAAAGAAUUAACUGAAAGUAAAUAACUAAAAGAGAAGUAAACUGAAAGCGAAUAAACUGAAAGUAAAAUGGGGGGUUUUGAGAUUGAUUUAAUUGAUCUAAUUCUGAAAGCAGUAAAAGUAAAGCGAAUAAUUAAAAUAAAGUGAAUUCAAUAAUGAAAAAGCUCUAGUUGAAGAAUCAGAUUCACUUCAGUUGUUGGGAUUGAUCAUUGAAACUUAUAUUCUUUUGAUUGAUUCAAUAAAUUAGUUAUGGAGAUGGAAAACACUUCUCACCACCAUGUCUCUCCUUAAUUAUAAACCGAUUAGGGAAUGUCCUCUAAUUAAUUACUAAUUAAUAAGUUGCCAAGGAACAUCCUUGGGUCUUAGGCAUCAAAACAACUGUCAAUUGCAUUAAGAGAUAGAGAGAGCCAAUCCUAGCUACUCAAACGCAUGAGAUGUUGCUAGAUCAUACAAUUUCCUUAGUCUUUACACCAAGUGUUCUUAUUUUUGAACAAUCCAAGUGAUAGAGCAUAUUUUAUUCCAUUUUAUCAUUAUGUUCUUGAUGUUUAUUUGCAUCUUUUCUGUCUAAUUUUGUGAUUUUAAUCACAUUUUGCAGAUAUUAUGUGUAAAGAGACAAUCCGGAGAAAAUGCUCUUAAAACUGCCAAAAAGUGCCAAAUAUGGAAAGUGCCAAAAAGGGAAAGUUUUCAAAUAAGGAAAGUUUUCAGAAAAGGAAAGUUUUCAAAUAAGGAAAGUACAGAAGCAAAAGAAAAUAAGGAAAGCUCAGUCCGAAGAUUAUUUGAAAUUCAAAUCGCAGAUCUUUCUUUCCUUGUUCAAAGAUGUGCACACACUGCAGCAGUCAUAUCUUCCUAUUUAGGCAGCAAGAUUUCAUGAAGGCGCACUUGCCUCUUCUGCAUUUAGCAUUCAAAAUUCAAACGAAGGCUCCACCUAAAAAGGAAAGACUGGACAGUUUCACUUUCCCUUCUGCACAUGCAUGCCGCGGGCCCACCUUCCCUCUGAAGAGCAUCCGCGCGCCACCUUCCCUCUCCAGUCCAUUCAACGCGAUUCUUUCCUUUUCGGACACAACUUGGGCAGCAAGCACUUCUUGGGUAGCAAGGUCAACAUCUAAAACCUAUUUAAAGACUCCUUAAAGGCCAAUGGACUCUCUCUCCACGUUUUUGCAACUCCUCCGGUGCAAGACUCUCAUCCGGCUCCAUCUUCUGUUCAUAUUCUUCUUCCUUUCUUUUAUUUUUGGUUUUGGUUCAGCCAUGAGUGGUUGAAACCUUUUUAUCUAGUUGAAGAUUGGUUGCAACUAAGGUUGUUUUAUGGAUUGUGAGAUCUAAACACAUAUUGUUUGUCUUUUGGUUAUUCAAUAUUCAUACAGUUCAUGCUUGAAUUCUAUUAUUACUUUGUUGUUUUGAUCAAAUUGGCCACUUGAUUCUUGAUUGCAAGGUAAUUAAUUGUUAGUUUAGAUAAUUUUAAGUCUGUAAUUGCUUGAAUUGUUCAAACAUAAGAACACUUGGUGUAACAACUAAGAAAUUGUAUGAUCUAGCAACAUCUCAUGCGUUUGAGUAGUUAGGAUUGGAUCUCUCUCUUUCUUCAUGCAAUUAACAAAUGUUUGAUGCCUAAGGCCCAAUGACAUUCCUUGGAAAUUUGUUAAUUAGUAAUUAAUUAGAGGACGUUCCUUAAUUGGUUUAAUCAUAAGGAGAGAUAUGGUGGUGAGAAGCGUUUUUCAUCUCCAUAACUAAUCUAUUGAAUCAAUCAAAAGAACGUAAGUUUCAAUGAUCAAUCUAAACAACCAAAGUGGAUCCAUCUCUUCAAAUAGACCUUUCUCUUAUUUGAUUUCCCUUUUAUUUUAUUAUUAUGCUUAUUUAAUUGCUUUUAGUAGUUGCUAAUCAAAUCAAUCUCAAAACCUCCCAUUUUACUUUUAUUGCACUUUACUUUUAUUCCGCUUUCAGAUGCGCUUUUAGUUAAUUCUCUUGGUCUUGUUGAGAAAAAUAGAUUAGUUUUCAAUUCUCUGUGGAUUCGAUCAUUUACCACUAUCUGCAGUAGUAAUAUUGUUGAUAACCGGAAAGGUUAUUUUUGACCGGUUUCGACAACCAUGAGUCAAAAAUUGGCACCGUUGCCGGGGAAUUGAUUUAACUUAUUUGUUUUUCUUUCAUGACCAGAUCUGAACGUAGGAACACUCUGCCUUACGAUUCAAAAAUUGAACGCACCAUCAGGAGACUAGGAAAGUAAGCAAUUCGGCCUGAAAAACUAUCUAAAGCCGAACCUGUGCCUGAAGAGCCUUCUUGUGCAGAACCAUCACCUGAAACACUUCCCACGCACCACUCAACUCUUGAAAUGGCAGAAAACGUGGCACAACCUACUGUCCACAAUCAACAUGCUGUUCAUGAAGAAAUUAUACACCAAAAUCCAGCCAUGAGAGCCCCAGUGCCAAGGGAAAGGACCAUGAGAGAAUUGGCAACACCUGUAGGUGAUCAAGCACCACUUUGCAUCACCUAUCCACCUCUGACAGUUUCCUUUGAACUAAAAACAGGUUUGAUCCAUCUUCUCCCUAAGUUUAGAGGUCUAGAGAAUCAAAGUCCACACAAGCACUUGAAAGAAUUCAAUAUUGUCUGUUCAUCUAUGAGACCUCAAGGUAUUUCUGAAGAUCAUAUUAAGUUAAGAGCUUUUCCUUUUUCACUUGAUGAUUAUGCUAAGGAUUGGCUAUUUUACUUACCACCUGGAUCUAUUACUUCUUGGGAUGACAUGGUAACAACUUUCUUAAAUAAAUAUUUGCCAACUCAUAAGGCUAUUGGUGUAAGAAGAGAAAUCUCAAGCAUUAGAUAGCAACCAUCUGAAGAUUUAUAUGAUUACUGGGAAAGAUUUAAAAGGUUGUGUACAGGCUGUCCUCAACAUGAGAUUUCAUAUAAGGCACUCAUAGAAUUUUUCUAUGGAGGCCUGCUUUCUUCAGAAAGAAGAUUCAUUGAUGUAGCCUAUGGAGGCUCCAUUGCAGACAAGAUGCCUAGGGAGAUGAGAGAGUUGAUCUCAACCCUUGCAGCCUCAUCUAGGCAAUAUGGAGAAGAGAAACAACUGCAGAGAGAAUCCAAUGAGGUAAGUACAUCUAACCUUUCCUCUCAGAUUUCUACACUAACCUCUGCCAUGACAAAUUUCUUCGUAGGCCAACCUCAACAAACCCAGCCAACUAGGCCAUGUGGGAUCUGUGCAUAUGUAGAACAUCCAACUGAUCAAUGUCCUACCCUUCAAGAAGACAGUUAGCAAGUGAAUGCCAUUGGAGGAUACAACAACCAACCUAGACAUGAUCCAUAUUCCAACACUUACAACCCAGGUUGGAGAGACCACCCCAAUCUCAGCUAUGGAAGGGCCAACAGAAACCAGAACUAUAAGAACUAUCAAAGGAAUCAAGCCCAACCAGCACCUCCAAAUUCCAUCCAGCACCUUGAAAAGAUGAUGGAAACAAUGGUAAGUUCCAUGCAAAGCAUGCGACAGGACAUAGGACAGCUGAUUGCAUCUAUGAGCAGAUCUGAAUCCCAAGGUAAGCUCCCUUCUCAAACUGAAACUAAUCAUAGACAGAAUGUUAGUGCCAUUACCUUGAGAAGUGGAAAGGAGCUUCAAGAUGCCAGAUAUGAGAAAGAGAAGCAAGUGGCACAAGAGCCUGCACAGGCUGAAACAAAGCCUGUGCAAACUGAAACCAUUCUUGUGCACCACCUGCAUGAGCCGGUCAGCCUGCACAGAAAGCUGAUCACUAGGUAUGUUUUCAGAUCCCACCUCCUUUUCCAAAAAGAUUUGAAAGAACUCAGAAAAAAAAAGAAGAAAAGGAGAUUCUUGAGACUUUCAGAAAGGUGAAAAUCAACAUACCUCUACUAGAUGCUGUUAAGCAGAUUCCCAGGUAUGCAAAAUUUCUGAAAGAGCUUUGCACCAAUAGAAGAGAGCUUGCUGAGAGAGAGAAAGUAAGUGUAGGUGAAGUAGUUACUGCUGUAAUUAAAAGAGAGCUCCCCGCUAAAUGCAAAGAUAAAUGUAUGUUUGCAAUUUGUUGUAAAAUAGGGAAUGUUGGAAUUAAGAAAGCUAUGUGUAAUCUUGGUGCAUCUAUAAAUGUUAUGCCUUUUUCCAUCUAUAAUUCUCUGAAUGCAUGUGCACUAAAAGACACAAGAGUUGUGAUACAAUUAGCUGAUAGAUCUGUGGUACAUCCCAUAGGUGUUCUAGAAGAUGUGUUAGUUUAAGUAGAUGAACUUAUCUUUCCUGCAGAUUUUUAUGUGAUUGAUACUAAGGAAGACAGUUGCAAUACUAGUUCUGACAUCCUUCUUGGACGUCCUUUCUUGAGUACUGCUAGGACUAAGAUCGAUGUGCAUGAUGGUACAUUGACUAUGGAGUUUGAAGGGGAAGUCAAUAAAUUUAAUGUCUAUGAUGCUAUGAAAUAUCCACAUGAUAUGUCCCCUGUUUAUGGUCUUGAUAUUUUUUACUGCUUGAGCCAGGAAAUUUUUGACAAAAAUCAAGAUGAUAUUCUGAACAAUAAUUUUUGCAGGGAUACUGACCAGGUACAGAUAGAAAGUCAGAAAGAGCCAAAACUGAAGGAAACAGUCUGCAGCAUCCAACAGGUGAAUUGCAGACAACCACAGGAAGUACAGAAACCAGUUGCGCCACUCCAGAAUGGUGUGCAGACCAUUCCUGCACAGGAAGAGGCACCUGAAAGCCUUUCAAGCGCAUCUCCUCAGCUUCCAAAGCAAAUCAGCUAUCUUCGGCCUUUCUUUCAAUCAAGUCCUAUGCAGAAGGAUGUUCCUGAAUCCAGUUCUGCCAGACAGUCAACACAGACACCUCCUUGCUUGCCCAAACCACAUACUGCAGAUCAGAAAGUUUCAGAAUCAGAUCUGAAGCCUCUUCUAGGCCAUCUGAAAUACAUAUACUUGGGAGCUGACAAGACACUACCAGUAAUAGUGUCCAAUGAAUUGAGCCAACAUGAAGAAGUAAGCCUCCUGAGAGUACUGCAGAAACACAAAGGAGCCAUAGGAUGGACCAUAGAUGACAUAAAAGGUAUUUCUCCUUCCACAUGCAUGCAUAGAAUACACAUGAAAGAGGAGUGCAAACCAGUCAGAGAUGCUCAAAGAAGACUGAAUCCACCUAUGAUGGAGGUAGUAAAGAAAGAAAUAGUUAAGCUCCUUGAUGCAGGUAUCAUCUACCCAAUCUCCAGCAAAUGGGUGAGUCCUGUGCAUGUAGUCCCCAAAAAGACUGGAAUCACCAUUGUUCUAAAUGCUGAAGGAGAACUUGUUCCCACCAGAAUUCAGAAUGGAUGGAGAGUAUGCAUGGACUAUAGGAAGCUAAAUGCAGCCACAAGAAAAGACCACUUUCCACUGCCUUUCAUUGAUCAGAUGCUAGAAAGGCUUGCAGGUAAGUCCCAUUACUGUUGUCUUGAUAGUUAUUCAGGUUUUUAUCAGAUUCCAGUUGCUCUAGAGGACCAAGAGAAGACCACCUUCACUUGUCCUUUUGGCACUUUUGCCUUUAGAAGAAUGCCAUUUGGACUAUGCAAUGCACCUGCCACCUUUCAGCGAUGCAUGAUGAGCAUAUUCUCUGACUAUGUGGGUAAGACAAUUGAAGUGUUCAUGGAUGAUUUCACAGUGCAUGGCAACUCCUUUGAAGAAUGCCUUGCCAACUUGGAAAAGAUCCUACAGAGAUGCCUUGAGUCUAACCUUGUACUUAAUUAUGAAAAAUAUCAUUUUAUGGUUAAUCAAGGUAUGGUUUUGGGACAUGUUGUUUCAGCUAAAGGUAUUGAAGUAGACAAUGCUAAGGUAGACACAAUUAAAAAUCUACCUUAUCCUAUGAAUGUUAAAGAAGUCCGUUCUUUCCUUGGUCAUGUAGGAUUCUACAGGAGAUUCAUAAAAGAUUUCUCCAAAAUCACACAGCCCUUAUGUAAAUUGCUCCAACAAGAUGUGACAUUUGAUUUUGAUGCAGGUUGCAAAACAGCAUUUGACCUGAUAAAGAAAUUGCUUGUGACUGCCCCAAUUAUUCAAGCACCUGAUUGGAACUUGCCGUUUGAAAUCAUGUGUGAUGCAAGCAACUAUGCAGUGGGAGCAGUCUUGGGGCAACGUGUGGGAAACUCACCCCACGUCAUUCACUAUGCCUCUCGCACACUGGAUGUUGUACAAAGCAACUACUCAACAACAGAAAAGGAGCUCUUUGCUGUUGUAUUUGCUUUAGAGAAAUUAAGACCAUAUCUCUUGGGGACCAAAGUCAUUGUUUAUUCUGACCAUGCAGCUCUGCAAUAUCUGAUCAAGAAAAAGGAAGCAAAAUCGAGACUCAUUCGGUGGAUUCUGUUGCUACAAGAAUUCGAUCUAGAAAUAAGGGACAAGAAAGGAAAGGAGAAUCUAGUGGCUGAUCACUUGAGCCGGCUUCCAUCUAGCUCUACGCCAUGUCCAGUCAAGGAAAACUUCCCAGACGAACAUCUGUUUGUCACUCAUUCAGCCUAAGUGAUCACACCAUGCACACCACACCUCAGGGGAGUACUCAGUUUCCUUUGUUCUUUUAUGUUUUUUAUACAUUGAGGACAAUGCAUGGUUUAGGUGUGGGGGUGCAUACCUCUCUUCUUCUUCUUCUUUUCUUCUUCUCUUUCCUUUCAGUUUUGCGAUUUUCCUUAUUCCUUUCAGUUCUGUGCAAUUUUUUUUCUUUUUCCUUUCAGAUUUGCGAUUUUUGCUUUCUUUUGUUUCAGUUCAUGCGAUUUUUUUUUGUUUUCAGUUUUCCUUUAGUUUGUUUUCAUUUAUGCUUUCAAUAACACACACAACCACAACCUUCUUUUUCUUUUUGAUUUGCUCUACUCAAACUGAUAAACUAUGUUGAAUGAGUUUUUCUUUCCAUGACCCCAUUGAUGUGAUGACUCUUUAAACUUAUGUUGAAUCAAUUGCAGUGAGUUAUAUUCAUGUUUGAGAAUUGCCUUUUGAAUUGAAUCUUUGAGCUUGCCAUGGUGAAAAAUAUAUUGAUGACACUCAUUAGAGAGGAUGAAUGAAAUUUGUGUGAAUGAACUUAACAUGACUUGAUUUAGCAAUUGGUAUUGAUUUGUCCAAUGCAUUGAUUAAAGAAAUUCAGCAAAGGCUUAGACUUCAUAAGCACAAUUGAAAACUGUUCCAAUGGUUGAAAGAAUAUGAACAGAGCUAGUAGCCACUUGGACAGGUGACCAACUGAGUAACUGGAGGUGGGUAUCACCAAUAUAUACCUUCACGUCAAAAGGUUGGUGACUUUUUCAAGCAAAACUUACGUGCAAAAGGCUGAAUAAAGUACUUCAAGGUAAGGGCAAAUCACUCUGAAAGAUAGAAAAAGUCUUAACUGAAUAAGAACAAGUGCAUGUAUAAUCUCUCUUUUGAGUAAAAAAGAUCCUAGCCAUGGUAAAUAAAGGGAAACAAGGAAAGAAGGUGAGUAAUCUUCAUGCAUAUAUUCUUCACUGCAAUGAUUCAAAAUAGGGGUCUAGAGUAAGACUUAAGUGGACAUAAAGGAUCAAAAGCAAAGAGAGCUUGUUCGACUAUGUUUAUUUGCUUGAGGACAAGCAAAAGGCUAGGUGUGGGGAUAUUUGAUAGAGCAUAUUUUAGUCCAUUUUAUCAUUAUGUUCUUGAUGUUUAUUUGCAUCUUUUCUGCCUAAUUUUGUGGUUUUAAUCAUGUUUUGCAGAUAUUAGGUGUAAAGAGACAAUCCAGAGAAAAUGCUAUUAAAACUGCCAAAAAGUGCCAAAAAUGGAAAGUGCCAAAAAAGGAAAGUUUUCAAAUAAGGAAAGUUUUCAGAAAAGGAAAGUUUUCAAAUAAGGAAAGUGCAGAAGCAAAAGCAAAUAAGGAAAGCUCAGUCUGAAGAUUAUUUGAAAUUCAAAUCGUAGAUCUUUCUUUCCUUGUUCAAAGAUGUGCACACACUGCAGCAGUCAUAUCUUCCUAGUUAGGCAGCAAGAUUUCAUGAAGGUACACUUGCCUCUUCUGCGUUCAGCAUUCAAAAUUCAAACGAAAGCUCCACCUAAAAAGGAAAGACUGGACAGAUUCACUUUUCCUUCUGCACAUGCAUGCCGCGCGCCCACCUUCCCUCUCCAGUCCAUUCAACGCGAUUAUUUCCUUUCCGGACACAACUUGGGUAGCAAGCACCUCUUAGGCAGCAAGGUCAGCAUCUAAAACCUAUUUAAAGACUCCUUAAAGGCCAGCCGACUCUCUCUCCACGUUUUUGCAACUCCUCCAGCGUAAGACUCUCAUCCGGCUCCAUCUUCUGUUCAUCUUCUUCUUCCUUUCUUUUAUUUUUGGUUUUGGUUUAGCCAUGAGUGGCUGAAACCUUUUUAUCUAUUUAAAGAUUGGUUGAAACUAAGGUUGUUUUAUGGAUUGUGAGAUUUGAACACAUAUUGUUUGUCUUUUGGUUAUUCAAUAUUCAUACAGUUCAUGCUUGAAUUCUAUUAUUACUUUGUUGUUUUGAUCAAAUUGGCCACUUGAUUCUUGAUUCAAGGUAAUUAAUUGUUAGUUUACAUAAUUUUAAGUUCGUAAUUGCUUGAAUUGUUCAAACAUAAGAACACUUGGUGUAACAACUAAGGAAUUGUAUGAUCUAGUAACAUCUCAUGCGUUUGAGUAGUUAGGAUUGGAUCUCUCUCUUUCUUCAUGCAAUUAACAAAUGUUUGAUGCCUAAGGCCCAAGGACAUUCCUUGGCAAUUUGUUAAUUAGUAAUUAAUUAGAGGACGUUCCCUAAUUGGUUUAAUUAUAAGGAGAGACAUGGUGGUGAGAAGCGUUUUUCAUCUCCAUAACUAAUCUAUUGAAUCAAUCAAAAGAACAUAAGUUUCAAUGAUCAAUACAAACAACCAAAGUGGAUCCAUCUCUUCAACUAGAACUUUCUCAUAUUUGAUUUCCCUUUUAUUUUAUCAUUCUGCUUAUUUAAUUGCUUUCAGUAGUUGCUAAUCAAAUCAAUCUCAAAACCCUCCAUUUUUCUUUUAUUGCACUUUACUUUUAUUUUGCUUUCAGUUGCGCUUUUAGUUAAUUCUCUUGAUUUUGUUGAGAAAAAUAGAUUAGUUUUCAAUUCUCUGUGGAUUCGAUCCUUUACCACUAUCUGCAGUAGUAAUAUUGUUGAUAACCGGAAAGAUUAUUUUUGAUCGGCUUCGACAACCGCGAGUCACCAAGCAAUUACGAACUCAAAAUUAUCCAAACUAAGAAUAUAUUACCUUGCAAUCAAGAAUCAAGUUGCCACAUUGAUCAAAAUAACAAAGCAAUAAUGGAAUCAAGCAUGAAAUUGUAUGAAUAUUGAAUAAACCAAAGACAAACAAUGUAUGUUCAGAUCUCACAAUCCAUAAAAUAACUUAAAUUUCGACCAAUCUUCAACUAGAAAAAAGGUUUCAGCCACUCAUGGCUGAAAUAAAAACAAAAAAAUAAAGAAAGGAAGAAGAAGAGAUGAUGCCACUUGCAAUCCCGUAGGUGUAUCCAAGGGAGAGUAGAAAAGCAUGGGGAGGCUCCUUAUGUGUCUUUUUAUAGUUAAAAGUGUGGCCCUAGGUCCUUACUUGCUGCCCAAGAGGCUGCUUGCUGCCCACAUUGUGUCUGAAAAGGAAGGAGGCACGCAACAAGGCUUUCAGAAGGAAGGAGGCGCGCGGCAAGGCUUUCAAAAGGAAAGAGGUGCUGUCCAAACUUUCCUUUUUAGGUGGAGCAUUCUUUUGAAUUUCAAAUUUUGAAUACUGAAUGCAUGAGAGGCAAGUGCAUCUUCUUGAGAUCUCGCUUCUUGAAUAGGAAGAAUUGACUGCUGAGGUGUCUGCACAUCUUUAAACAAGGAAAGAAAGAUCUGCAAUUUGAAUUUCAAAUAAUCUGUUGACUGUGCUUUCCUUAUCUGUUUUUACUUCUGCACUUUCCUUAUUUGACACUUUCCUUAUUUGAAACUUUCCAUAUUUGGCAUUUUUUGGGCAGUUUUAAGAGCAUUUUCACCAGAUUGUCUCUUUACACCUAUUUUCUGCAAAAUAAGACCAAAACCACAAAAUUAGCCAGAAAAAGUGUAAAUGAACAUAAUAAUAUCAUGAUAAAAUGGUCUAAAUUAUUCUCUAUCACCAGUGUUUCACCUUGGGGAGCUCCUGAGUUAUUUGUGAAGAAGAAGGAUGGUUCCUUAAGGCUAUGUAUUGACUACAGACAAUUAAAUCGAGUCACAAUGCGAAAUAAGUAUCCUUACUCCGUAUUGAUGAUCUUUUUUAUCAGCUCCAAGGUGCUAAGGUGUUCUCUAAGAUUGAUUUGCGGUUUGGAUAUCAUCAAUUGAAGAUCAAGGAGUCUGAAAUACCUAAGACAACUUUUAGAACUCGUUAUGUGCAUUAUGAGUUUCUCGUUAUACCUUUUGGGUUAACUAAUGCACCUGCUGCUUUUAUGGAUCUCAUGAAUUAGGUGUUCAAGCCCUACUUGGAUAGCUUUGUUAUUGUAUUUAUUGAUGACAUCUUAGUGUAUUCCCGUAGCAAGGAAGAGCAUGAGAUGCAUUUACGGAUAGUACUUCAAAUUUUGUGGAAUAGGCAACUGUAUGCUAAAUUGAGUAAAUGUGAGUUUUGGCUUGAUUGGGUGGUUUUCUUAGGACAUGUUAUCUCAGCAGAUGGAGUUUUGGUUGAUCCUAAGAAGAUUGAAGCAGUAGUCAAUUGGGACCCUCCAACUAAUGUUACAGAGGUUAGGAGUUUUCUGGGAUCAGCAGGGUAUUAUAGUCACUUUGUUCAAGAUUUCUCUAUCAUUGCAGCACUAAUGACUAAAUUUCUUAGAAAGAACGCAAAGUCUGAAUGGACAGAUGAAUGUUAAGAGAGCUUCGAGAAGCUUAAGACAUGUCUUACAUCAACUCCAGUCCUUACCUUACCCUCAGUUACAAGUGGAUUUGUGGUGUACAGUAAUGCUUCUCGCAAGGGUUUAGGCUGUGUACUCAUGCAACAUGGGAAGGGGAUAGCUUAUGCUUCUAGACAGCUUAGACCACAUGAAUUAAAUUAUCCUACCCAUGACUUAGAAUUAGUUGCAGUUGUGUUUGCAUUAAAGACAUGGAGGCAUUAUCUUUAUGGCGGGACUUACCAGGUUUUUACAGAUCACAAGAGUUUGAAGUAUCUUCUCACAAAGAAGGAGUUGAAUUUAAGGCAGAGAUGGUGGAUUGAGUUACUUAAGUACUACGACUUUACCAUUGAAUAUUAUCCAAGCAAAGCUAACGUAGUAGUUGAUGCACUUAGUCGCAAUUCCUUUAGUAAUUUAGCUUAUCUCAAAACAGUUCAGCUUCCCUUAUUACUAGAGAUCAUAUCCUUAAGGGUAGAACUAGCAAUGGAUAAUGCGAGAGCAUUAUUGGAAACUCUCAAAAUUUGAUCAGUUUUGAUAGAAAAAGUCAGAAAAGCCCAAAAUCAAGAUGAGCAGUUGAGUAAGAUCAAUAAUGAAGUAAGAGAUGGCACCCAUACCGAAUUUUCCCUAAGGGAGGAUAGGACUUUAAUGUUUGGUGAUAGAUUAUGUGUACCCAAAGUGGAAAGCUUGAAGAGAGAGAUUAUGGAGAAAGCUCAUUGUUCUGCUUACUCUAUGCAUCCGGAUAGUACAAAAAUGUAUAGAGAUCUUAAGGAAAAUUAUUGGUGGCCAGACAUGAAGAAAGAAAUAGCUGACUUUGUGUCCACAUGCUUAGUAUGCCAACAGAUUAAAGUAGAACAUCAACAUCCAAUAGGAAAGCUGCAACUGCUCUCUAUUUCAGAAUGGAAGUGGGAACACAUUACUAUGGAUUUUAUUUAUGGGUUGCCUCGUACUUCAUGUGGACAUAAUGGAGUAUGGAUGAUAGUUGAUGGAUUAACCAAGUCAGCACACUUUUUGCCUGUCAGGAUGGAUUAUUCUUUGGACAAAUUAGCAGAAAUCUAUGUCAAUGAGAUUGUAAGACUCCAUGGUGCUCCAGUUUUCAUUAUUUCAGUAAUACCCGGCUAGACUCCGGUAUCGAAAUUCCUACCGUCCGAUGGAAUCUCAGAUGUCGGAAACCUCUAGAAGGGUAAAAUCAUGUUUUUAUAAAAUGUUUUAAUGUAUUUUAUGGUUUUAAGCAAGAAAGAAAUGAGUUUUCCAUAAAAAUAACCUUGGAGGAAGAUUCAGGUUUGGCCGCCGAACCUCAAGUUCAGCUGCCGAACAUGCAUGCGCUUCGGGAGUGCUUUAGGCCCCAAAGGCAUAAGUGAGGGAAGUCCAGGUUCGGCCGCCGAACCUUAUGUUCGGCCGCCGAACAUGGCAUGCAUGCGGAGGCACGUUAGGCCCCCGAAAGUGGCCUGGCCAGCCACCUAUAAAGGGGUCCCUUGUCCGAAACGGGCGAGCUUUUCUCCCCAUUUUCGGCCAAGGUGAGCUCUCUGCCGUCCCUUAUUGAUUUUGAGCUUCUUCCUUCGAGUUUUCAUGAUUUCUUAUGAGUUUUGACUUGGUUUGAAGAUUUUUGAGCAAAAGAGCAAGUUUUGGAGCUUGGAGACCAAAGGAGCGAAAUCUCUCCCAUCUCCGAGUUAGAUCGCCUCUCCUCUUGAUCUUCAAGAGGUAAGAGUAGAUCUUUAGCUCAUUUUAUGUUUUAAGCAAGUUCUAUGAAGAUUUAUGGGGUAGAAAUGCAUGUUUAGGUUAUUUUUGAGUUUAUGGGUUUAUGUUGAGGUUUUGGGCAAUGUAUGAUGUUUAUGUAUGUUUGAUGUGUUGUAGUAGGGGUUUAGGACAGUUUGAGACCCCUAUAGGCUUGUUGGCUUGAGUUUGCUUGUUGUAGAAUAGGUAAAUGCAUGUUUGAAUGAGUUGGGAGGCUUUGUGCAUAAAAGAGGCUGAGUUUCUGCCCUUUGGAGGAACUCAGGUUUGGGAGCCGAAAGCUCUUUCGGCCGUCGAACCUGCCUGUGGUAGCAUGUAUCGGCUGCCGAACCCUGCCCCCGAAAGUGGACUUUCGGCUCUGAAAGGGAGUUUCGGCCGCCGAAUGUGCCGCUGAACAUACAUGAGUUUCGUCUCUGGAGAGAACCUUCGGCCGCCAAAAGUGCCGCCGAAGGUGCAUGACUUUCGGCUCUGGAGGGACUUUCGACCGCCGAACCUGCCGUUGAAAGUGCCCUGUUCAGCCUUCCUUUGCAUGAUUUAUGUGACUGUUUUAAGGUGUUUUAGGGGGUUUUUGGGAAGUAUUUUAGAGUCAUGUUCUUGGAUGUUUGGUCCCUGACUCGCGGUUGUCGAGGCCGGUCAAAAAUAACCUUUCUAGUUAUCAACAAUUUUACAACUGCAGAUAGUGGUGAAAGGAUCGAAUCCACAGAGAAUUGAUUACCUAUUUAUUUUUCUCAACAAGACCAAUAAAAUAAACUGAAACAAUAAUAAAUUAAAGAUGAGAUAAAAGACUGAAAGUGGGAUCAAAUGAGAUAAACUGGAAACAGAAUAAAAAUAAAUUGCAAUAAAAGUAAAUGGGGGGGUUUGAGAUUGAUUGUAGUAACUAAUAAUGAGAGUAAUAAUAGAAAGCAAAUAAUUAAAAUAAAAGAGUAAAUCAAUAUGAGAAAAGCCUAGUUGAAGAUAUGGAUCCACUUUAGUUGUUUGGGUUGAUCAUUGAAACUUAGAUUAUCUUGAUUGGUUCAAUAGAUUAGUUAUGGGGGUGGAAGACGCUUCUCACCACCAUGUCUCUCCUUAUGAUUAAAUUAAUUAGGGAACGUCCUCUAAUCAAUUACUAAUUAACAAAUUGCCAAGGAACGUCCUUGGGCCAUAGGCAUCAAAACAAUUGUCAAUUGCAUAAAGAAAUAGAGAGAUCCAAUCCUAGCUACCCAAACGUAUGGAGAUAAUGCUAGAUCAUGCAAUUCAUUGGUUUUUACGCGAACAAAACCAAAGACAAUAAUUUAUGUUCAGAUCUCACAACCCAUUAAACAACCUUGGUUUCAACCAAUCCUCAACUAGAAUUAGGAAAAUUAGCCACUCAUUGUCUAAAUUAAAAACAGAGAAUAAAUAAAAGGGAAAAGAAAUAAAAACCGAAGGAUGGAAUUCUGCCUUGCGCUUGGAGCGGCGGAAAUUGCCGAGAAUUCGGAUUCUCCAAUUGUCGGCCACUGAUGGUUCUUUAAAUAGAGCAGAGGAAGUGUGCGCCCUAUUCAGGAAAAUUGGUCGCGGUCAUGUGCAAGCGUGGAUCAGGUGCGGUGAUGUGCUGGAACGGCGAGUGGACGUGCGGAGCCUGGAGCGCGUGAUCUGUGGUCCACGUGAGGAGAUGGCCUAGGCCCACGUGAGGGAGUGCUUCGGCGGGCCCCCUUGGCGUGAAGCGCUUGGGCUGAGGCGCGGUUCGCGUGAAGAAUUUGGUUUGCGUGAGAGAGUGAUGAAGCGGGCCAUGUUCCACGUGAGGUGAAAUGGUGGAGUGAAUUUGGCAGGGCCCAUGUGCAUGUGUUUGGUGCUUGGGCAGUUUGGAGACGGCGCGGGCCCACGUGAGGAGCUUGGAAGUGCUGGUGGUCCACUUGAAGCUGGACGUGUAUGAGCGGGCCUGUUGCGUGAAUUGAUGAGAUGAAUUGAGGAGCUCGAUCCACGUAACUGGUCCAUGCGAAGCCCAUCUGCCGAGUGGUCCAUGGUGAAGGAGUGCGCGGGUGCGUGAAUUCGGUCCUCUCACGUGAAUGGGCUGUCCACGGUGGAGUGGGCGUUGAAAUGCUUUCGUGGGCCCAAGUUGACUGAUCCAUGGUGCGUUCCACGGUGCAGGGCACUGGCGGGUCCAUCUGCGCGUUUGGGGCUGGUCCAUAAGCAUCCAUGGGCUGCUAUGUGCAGGCCCAAGUGUCCUUUUGCUGCCCAAUUAUUUCUUGGCUCUAAAUAAGGCAGUUUUAGGGGGUUUUUCUCCAAAUUGUCCUUUUACACCAUUUUCUACAAAAUAAUAUUAAAAGCAAUAAAUUAAGCAGAAAUCAUAUAAAUAUUUAUCAAUAAUAUUAAUAUAAAAUGGACUAAUUUAUGCUCUAUCAAAUACCCCCACACUUAGCCUUUUGCUUGUCCUCAAACAAAUAAACAUAGUCAAACAAGCUUUCUCACUCUAGAUCCUUGUUUCCACUUAAGCUCUUACUCUAGACCCCUAUUUUGAAUCAUUGCAGUGAAGAAUAUAUGCAUGAAGAUUACUCACCUUCUUUCCUUGUUUCCCUUUACUUACCAUGGCUAGGAUUUGUUUUCCUUAAGAGAGACCAUACAUGCACAUUUUUGUUAAGACUUUUUUCUAGCUUUUGGAUUGACUUGCCCUUACCUUGAAGUACUUUAUUCAGACUUUUGCACUUUAGAUCUCGCUUGGAAAGGUCACCAACCUAUUUUUGAUUUGAAGGUUUAUAUUUUUCAGUUGGUCACCUAUCCAAGUGGCUACUUGCCUUGUUCAUAGUCUUUUGACUAUUGGAACAAUUUUCAAUUUGUGCUUUUGAGGUCUUUGCCUUUGCUGAAUUUUCUUUCUCUCAAUG
rnacentral:lncRNA from 1 species